GCCUGGGUGGCUUAGUCAGUUAAGCAUCUGACUUCAGCUCAGGUCAUGAUCUUACUACUCGUGGGUUCAAACCUCACGUUGGGCU
rnacentral:tRNA from 1 species